UGUCUAAGUAUAAGCAAUCUAUACGGUGAAACUGCGAAUGGCUCAUUAAAUCAGUUAUCGUUUAUUUGAUAGUACCUUGCUACAUGGAUACCUGUGGUAAUUCUAGAGCUAAUACAUGCGGAAAACCCCGACUUCGGAAGGGGUGUAUUUAUUAGAUAAAAAACCAAUGCCCUUCGGGGCUCCUUGGUGAUUCAUAAUAACUGCACGAAUCGCAUGGCCUUGCGCCGGCGAUGGUUCAUUCAAAUUUCUGCCCUAUCAACUUUCGAUGGUAGGAUAGUGGCCUACCAUGGUGGCAACGGGUAACGGGGAAUUAGGGUUCGAUUCCGGAGAGGGAGCCUGAGAAACGGCUACCACAUCCAAGGAAGGCAGCAGGCGCGCAAAUUACCCAAUCCCGAUCCGGGGAGGUAGUGACAAUAAAUACUGAUACAGGGCUCUUUUGGGUCUUGUAAUUGGAAUGAGUACAAUCUAAAUCCCUUAACGAGGAACAAUUGGAGGGCAAGUCUGGUGCCAGCAGCCGCGGUAAUUCCAGCUCCAAUAGCGUAUAUUAAAGUUGUUGCAGUUAAAAAGCUCGUAGUUGAACCUUGGGCCUGGCUGGCCGGUCCGCCUCACCGCGAGUACUGGUCCGGCCGGGCCUUUCCUUCUGGGGAACCCCAUGGCCUUCACUGGCCGUGGCGGGGAACCAGGACUUUUACUGUGAAAAAAUUAGAGUGUUCAAAGCAGGCCUUUGCUCGGAUACAUUAGCAUGGAAUAAUAGAAUAGGACGUGUGGUUCUAUUUUGUUGGUUUCUAGGACCGCCGUAAUGAUUAAUAGGGAUAGUCGGGGGCGUCAGUAUUCAGCUGUCAGAGGUGAAAUUCUUGGAUUUGCUGAAGACUAACUACUGCGAAAGCAUUCGCCAAGGAUGUUUUCAUUAAUCAGGGAACGAAAGUUAGGGGAUCGAAGACGAUCAGAUACCGUCGUAGUCUUAACCAUAAACUAUGCCGACUAGGGAUCGGACGGUGUUUCUAUGAUGACCCGUUCGGCACCUUACGAGAAAUCAAAGUUUUUGGGUUCUGGGGGGAGUAUGGUCGCAAGGCUGAAACUUAAAGGAAU
rnacentral:rRNA from 1 species